AAUGGGUCAGCGACUUAUAUUCUGUAGCAAGGUUAACCGAAUAGGGGAGCCGAAGGGAAACCGAGUCUUAACUGGGCGUUAAGUUGCAGGGUAUAGACCCGAAACCCGGUGAUCUAGCCAUGGGCAGGUUGAAGGUUGGGUAACACUAACUGGAGGACCGAACCGACUAAUGUUGAAAAAUUAGCGGAUGACUUGUGGCUGGGGGUGAAAGGCCAAUCAAACCGGGAGAUAGCUGGUUCUCCCCGAAAGCUAUUUAGGUAGCGCCUCGUGAAUUCAUCUCCGGGGGUAGAGCACUGUUUCGGCAAGGGGGUCAUCCCGACUUACCAACCCGAUGCAAACUGCGAAUACCGGAGAAUGUUAUCACGGGAGACACACGGCGGGUGCUAACGUCCGUCGUGAAGAGGGAAACAACCCAGACCGCCAGCUAAGGUCCCAAAGUCAUGGUUAAGUGGGAAACGAUGUGGGAAGGCCCAGACAGCCAGGAUGUUGGCUUAGAAGCAGCCAUCAUUUAAAGAAAGCGUAAUAGCUCACUGGUCGAGUCGGCCUGCGCGGAAGAUGUAACGGGGCUAAACCAUGCACCGAAGCUGCGGCAGCGACGCUUAUGCGUUGUUGGGUAGGGGAGCGUUCUGUAAGCCUGUGAAGGUGUGCUGUGAGGCAUGCUGGAGGUAUCAGAAGUGCGAAUGCUGACAUAAGUAACGAUAAAGCGGGUGAAAAGCCCGCUCGCCGGAAGACCAAGGGUUCCUGUCCAACGUUAAUCGGGGCAGGGUGAGUCGACCCCUAAGGCGAGGCCGAAAGGCGUAGUCGAUGGGAAACAGGUUAAUAUUCCUGUACUUGGUGUUACUGCGAAGGGGGGACGGAGAAGGCUAUGUUGGCCGGGCGACGGUUGUCCCGGUUUAAGCGUGUAGGCUGGUUUUCCAGGCAAAUCCGGAAAAUCAAGGCUGAGGCGUGAUGACGAGGCACUACGGUGCUGAAGCAACAAAUGCCCUGCUUCCAGGAAAAGCCUCUAAGCAUCAGGUAACAUCAAAUCGUACCCCAAACCGACACAGGUGGUCAGGUAGAGAAUACCAAGGCGCUUGAGAGAACUCGGGUGAAGGAACUAGGCAAAAUGGUGCCGUAACUUCGGGAGAAGGCACGCUGAUAUGUAGGUGAAGCGACUUGCUCGUGGAGCUGAAAUCAGUCGAAGAUACCAGCUGGCUGCAACUGUUUAUUAAAAACACAGCACUGUGCAAACACGAAAGUGGACGUAUACGGUGUGACGCCUGCCCGGUGCCGGAAGGUUAAUUGAUGGGGUCAGCGCAAGCGAAGCUCUUGAUCGAAGCCCCGGUAAACGGCGGCCGUAACUAUAACGGUCCUAAGGUAGCGAAAUUCCUUGUCGGGUAAGUUCCGACCUGCACGAAUGGCGUAAUGAUGGCCAGGCUGUCUCCACCCGAGACUCAGUGAAAUUGAACUCGCUGUGAAGAUGCAGUGUACCCGCGGCAAGACGGAAAGACCCCGUGAACCUUUACUAUAGCUUGACACUGAACAUUGAGCCUUGAUGUGUAGGAUAGGUGGGAGGCUUUGAAGUGUGGACGCCAGUCUGCAUGGAGCCGACCUUGAAAUACCACCCUUUA
rnacentral:rRNA from 1 species